AGAAUUCAACUAAAGUGGCUAAGGCACCAUCUCCAUGGAGUACUAGUGGAAAAUAUACAGGAACACCCUCUCCCCUUUCACCCAGCCCUUCUCCUGUGAGCUCUGUGGGAUCGCAAGGAAGCACUGGAACACCUUCUCCGUCCUCCAUAAUCAGCAUCCCACAGCGAAUUCAUCAGAUGGCAGCCAAUCACGUUAGCAUCACCAACAGCAUCUUACACAGUUACGACUACUGGGAGAUGGCUGACAAUCUUGCCAAGGAAAACCAAGAUUUCUUUAAUGAUUUGGAUGCAUUGAUGGGGCCUGUUACCUUGCACAGCAGUAUGGAGCACCUGGUCCAAUACACACAACAAGGACUUCACUGGAUAAGGAGUAGGGCUGAGUUGUCAUAGUGAAUGCGUGCUGCUCAUCUGGACACUAGAUUCUCCCACAGGCAAUUCAGUUAUUCUAGACACUGUGCUACAGAAAUACUCAACAGCAUUGCUUCAGACAAAUGUGAAUACUACUUCUGAUGCUAGACAAUAUUUUUCCAGAGUGCAGAAAUAGAUGUGUAUGUAUAUUAUGCAAUGUUUGUCUGUUCUGAUACUUUGUCUUUUUCAAUUCAGCUCCUCUGUAAAGAACAGGAGGGUUAUGUUUACACACACACACACACUCACACUCCACAUACACACUCUCCUCUCCUUCAGUACUUAAACAACUAAACCAGAACUUCAUAGGUUGAUUUAACCAGGUACAACAAAAAAUUCUCUCAAUUCUGAAAAGUAUUUUCCACUCAACUUUUAAACACAUUCUCAAAUAGCUGCUUAACUGUAACUUUGAAAGAGAUGACAUUUCUUGAAUUAGGCCAAUUGGAGGUUCUCUACAU